GAGAAAGACAUAGUGGUUAUGAUGUUGGCUUGAAACCAACUUUAGGGGGUUCGAAUCCUUCCUUUCUUA
rnacentral:tRNA from 1 species